rnacentral:misc_RNA from 1 species
GUCGCUACCUGACCGUGGCCA